rnacentral:rRNA from 1 species
AGCAGCCGCGGUAAUUCCAGCUCCAAUAGCGUAUAUUAAAGUUGUUGCAGUUAAAAAGCUCGUAGUUGAAUUUCGGGAUCAGCAGGUCGGUCGUGCCACUGGUAUGCACUGGCCUUGCUGAUUCCUCCCUCUUGAUGAGCCGUAAUGCCAUUAAUUUGGUGUUGCGGGGAAUCAGGACUGUUACUUUGAAAAAAUUAGAGUGUUUAAAGCAGGCAUGCGCUUGAAUACAUUAGCAUGGAAUAAUGAAAUAGGACGUUCGAUCCUAUUUUGUUGGUUUCUAGGAUUGACGUAAUGAUUAAUAGGGAUAGUUGGGGGCAUUAGUAUUCAAUUGUCAGAGGUGAAAUUCUUGGAUUUAUUGAAGACUAACUACUGCGAAAGCAUUUGCCAAGGAUGUUUUCAUUAAUCAAGAACGAAAGUUAGGGGAUCGAAGACGAUCAGAUAGCCGUCGUAGUCUUAACCAUAAACUAUGCCGACUAGGGAUCGGAUGAUGUUAAUUUUUUAAUGACUCAUUCGGCGCCUU